rnacentral:rRNA from 1 species
UACGUAGGUGGCAAGCGUUGUCCGGAUUUACUGGGCGUAAAGAGCGCGCAGGCGGCUGGCCAAGUCCGAUGUGAAAGCCCCCCGGCUCAACUGGGGAGGGUCAUUCGAUACUGAUCGACUCGAAGGCAGGAGAGGGUAGUGGAAUUCCCGGUGUAGUGGUGAAAUGCGUAGAUAUCGAGAGGAACACCUGCGGCGAAGGCGGGUAGCUGGGCCGACACUGACGCUGAGGCGCGAAAGCCAGGGGAGCGAACGGG